rnacentral:lncRNA from 1 species
AAGAGCGAUUGAAGCUUCUAUUGCACAAGAGAGAAAAUGAAUGAGCAACGACGUGUAAAUGAAAAUGUGGCUCUGCGUGGAAAGAAUGACAAAUGAAGAUGUGGUCUGACGCGCACGUGCAGGAGGCAGAUGUGGUAGAUGAAGUGUUGUCACGCAAAAGAAGGGAAAUUAAUGAAGGAAAGCAUUAGUGUGGAGGAGAGAGAAAAUGGAAGCAACAAUGGAAAAAUGGAGAAUAAAAGACGGAGGUGUGUGUUUGCAAGGUGGCUAGAGGAGGAUUCCUUGGAU